AAACAACACGAGGGGUGUCCCACACGGGGCUGAGAUGUGCUUGGCACAAUCCCUUUGAACCUGUAAGUUCAUGCUUGCGUAGGAACGUGUUCAAUUCGGGCU
rnacentral:ncRNA from 2 species